GUCCCUGUGAUUCACUAAAUACACCAACUACCUUCUAAGCAGUGGGCCGUUGGUUCGAAUCCCACUAGGGACGCCA
rnacentral:tRNA from 1 species